UACAGAGGUCUCAAGCGUUGUUCGGAUUCAUUGGGCGUAAAGGGUGCGUAGGUGGCGUGGUAAGUCGGGUGUGAAAUUUCGGAGCUUAACUCCGAAACUGCAUUCGAUACUGCUGUGCUUGAGGACUGGAGAGGAGACUGGAAUUUACGGUGUAGCAGUGAAAUGCGUAGAGAUCGUAAGGAAGACCAGUGGCGAAGGCGGGUCUCUGGACAGUUCCUGACACUGAGGCACGAAGGCCAGGGGGAGCAAACGGG
rnacentral:rRNA from 1 species